rnacentral:rRNA from 1 species
CUACGGGUGUGCUGCAGUGGGGAAUAUUGCACAAUGGAGGAAACUCUGAUGCAGCAACGCCGCGUGGAGGAUGACACUUUUCGGAGCGUAAACUCCUUUUAUAUAGGAAGAAGAUGACGGUACUAUAUGAAUAAGCGCCGGCUAACUCCGUGCCAGCAGCCGCGGUAAUACGGAGGGCGCAAGCGUUACUCGGAAUCACUGGGCGUAAAGAGCGUGUAGGCGGAUUAAAAAGUCAGAAGUGAAAUCCUAUAGCUUAACUAUAGAACUGCUUCUGAAACUCUUAAUCUAGAAUAUGGGAGAGGUAGAUGGAAUUUCUGGUGUAGGGGUAAAAUCCGUAGAGAUCAGAAGGAAUACCGAUUGCGAAGGCGAUCUACUAGAACAUUAUUGACGCUGAGACGCGAAAGCGUGGGGAGCAGACAGGAUUAGAUACCCUCGUAGUC